UAGUAACGGCGAGUGAAGCGGGAACAGCUCAAAUUUGAAAUCUGGCCCUUGGGUCCGAGUUGUAAUUUGCAGAGGAUGCUUUUGGUGCGGUGCCUUCCGAGUUCCCUGGAACGGGACGCCUUAGAGGGUGAGAGCCCCGUACGGUUGGCCACCAAGCCUGUGUAAAGCUCCUUCGACGAGUCGAGUAGUUUGGGAAUGCUGCUCAAAAUGGGAGGUAUAUUUCUUCUAAAGCUAAAUACUGGCCAGAGACCGAUAGCGCACAAGUAGAGUGAUCGAAAGAUGAAAAGCACUUUGAAAAGAGGGUUAAAUAGCACGUGAAAUUGUUGAAAGGGAAGGAUUUAUGACCAGACUUUUUCUGGGGGGAUCAUCCGGUGUUCUCACCGGUGCACUUCCCCCAGUUGAGGCCAGCAUCGGUUUCUGCCGGGGGAUAAAAGCUUUGGGAAUGUGGCUCCUUCGGGAGUGUUAUAGCCCGUUGCAUAAUACCCUGGCGGGGACCGAGGUUCGCGCAUUGCAAGGAUGCUGGCGUAAUGGUUAUUAAUCACCCGUCUUGAAACACGGACCCCUGUGUGAAA
rnacentral:rRNA from 2 species